rnacentral:rRNA from 1 species
AUGCCCGCCUUUAAAAAGCCACCACCUUUUCUGUCAGAACUACUUAGGUUUGAUGGUGAUUCACGUUCUAAGCAAUUCUUGGAUAGAAUCAGACAAUACAAUUCACUUUUUGCUUUCACGUCCAUGGGAGCGGAUAUUAAUAAACAUAUUAACAAAGGUGGUGGUCCAUAUGUGUUUAAAUUUCAUGGUCAGGUAUAUCACCGUAUUGGAUUGCUUCUGCCAAAUAGAGGUGCCACUCCAAAGUUUGUUGAACUAUACAUUCAUCACACACAAAAUGAGCUUUCAAAUCGAAUUAAUGCCGGGAUGACCGAAGAUGGUGAAAAAGACAGUGGUAUUGAUAGAGACAUAGCUGAUGGUUUAAUGAAGAUGCUUGAUGAGUAUAAUCCUCUUAUGCAGACAUUUAGAAUGGCUAGAGAUCGACUUUAA